UACAGAGGUCUCAAGCGUUGUUCGGAUUCAUUGGGCGUAAAGGGUGCGUAGGUGGCAUGGUAAGUCGGGUGUGAAAUCCCGGGGCUCAACCCCGGAACUGCAUUCGAUACUGCCUGGCUAGAGUACUGGAGAGGAGAUUGGAAUUUUACGGUGUAGCAGUGAAAUGCGUAGAUAUCGUAAGGAAGACCAGUGGCGAAGGCGGAUCUCUGGACAGUUACUGACACUGAGGCACGAAGGCCAGGGGAGCAAACGGG
rnacentral:rRNA from 1 species